ensembl:lncRNA
CUUUCAUGGGGAGGUUUGUCUAAUUUCUGAAAAUGGCAAACUAUAUGGAAAGGCAAUUAAAGAAAAUGGUCUAUACAGAUUGAUAGACAUAUACAAUGAUAGUGAGGAAGAUAAUGACGAUGCUAUAAAUUGUAUUUCGAAUAAGCUGUUGCAUGAUUUUUGCAUCCAUUAUUAUCACAGAAUUUUUGGGCAUUGUUCNUUCUCCAGAGUAAAACAUAUGGCUAAACUAUCUAAUAUUGAACUUAAACCUUGUGACAAAUAUCUAGAAUGUAGAGUUUGUGCAGAAACCAAGGUAAAAGCAUUUCCUAUAGCCAAAUACAGUGAUAGGAGAUCAACGAAACCUUUUCAGCUAGUCCAUACAGAUGUUGCUGGUCCAUUCAGCCCAAGUCAGGGAGGCCAUAAAUGGAUUAUGGUAAUUAUUGAUGAUUAUAGCAGAUUUACAUACACAUAUUUACGUAAGUCAAAGGUUCAGGUGUAUGAUAAAAUGAAGGACUGGCUGAACAUGAUUUCUACACAAUUUGGUUGUACAGUGCAGAAGGUACAAUCUGAUAGAGGAGAAAUGAUGUGUAAGGCUGUAGCAGAUUUGUUUAGAACAUGUGGCAUUAUACAUAGAAAGACCAAUCUGUACUGUUCAGCUGAAAAUGGUGUAGCUGAACGACAAAUUGGAUUAAUUCAAGAAAUGUACAAGGCCAUGUUGUCUGAUGCUAAAAUGCCCGAUUAUUUCUGGGGAGAAGCAGUAGCUAGUAGCACUUAUGUUUUGAAUCGAAUAUAUUCUUUUACUGUUGGUAAUACUCCAUAUUUUAUGUUAUAUGGUAAAGAACCUGAUGUAAAGCACAUGAGGAUCUUUGGCUCACAUGCUCAUGUACUGAUACCCGGGGCACAAAGAAAAAAGAGAGACAAAAUUUCACAGAGGUUACGUUUUGUUGGGUAUGAAGAAAAUACAAAGGGGUAUCGUUUCUCUCUGAGCUAUGGUAAAGUAGUGGUGUCUAGGAGUGCAAACUUUGCGAUUCACUCAGAUUGGGCUAAUAUACAUGUUAAUAGUGAUGUUUUCUAUUACAUAUGGGGAAAAGAAGGGACUGAUGCUAACGUUACAGGUAGGAANGUGCCUGAAUACAAAAGAAAGUGGAAAGCUUAUCGCAGUUCCACAUCUUUUUCCAGUGCCACAUCUUCCUCCUCUAGUAGCACAGAGACUGAGUCCAGCUCAGAAGAUAAACCUUCUACUUCUUCACAAGCUCAAUCCACUACUGUAGUUAAGAAAGAGUUAGUGCCAAGGAGAUCUGAACGUACAACUAAGGGAAUUCCUCCAGAAAGACUUCAGAUUGGUCAAAUAAGUAAUGUAGAUAGUCAGGAGCAAUGGUCUCAGCCAAAUAGUUACAAAGAGGUAAUGACCAGACCAGAAGAAGAAAAACAAGAAUGGAUACAAGCUAUGAAAAAGGAAUUUGAUUCUCUAUUGAACCUGAAUAUUUUCACUGAGGUGUCUGCAGACACAGAUAAGAAACCCAUAGGGUGUAGAUGGGUAUUUAAACGUAAAACAUUACCUGAUGGUAGAUAUUUAUCUACCUGAUGGUUAGAAUUUUGCAGGGCAGGGGGUCCACACCGCUUCUAGAAUAGCAGAGUGUAGCACGAUAUAGCAGAGUAAUUGCAGCCAAAUCUUCCCAGGUAAACCGACACCAGCAGAUUGUUCGUUGUAGCGGCGAAGUAAGGAGACGGACAAGAGAAACUUUCCAGCACCAGUGAAAGUUUAUCUACAGUAUUCCACACCAGCAUACAAAACGAUAUAUACAAGCGACAUAGAAUC